UGGGGAAUCUUGCGCAAUGGGCGAAAGCCUGACGCAGCGACGCCGCGUGGGCGAAGAAGGCCUUCGGGUUGUAAAGCCCUGUGGGAGAGAACGAACCGGUUGGGGGCGAAUACCCUCCAAUCUUGACGGUACUCUUUUAGCAAGCAUCGGCUAACUCUGUGCCAGCAGCCGCGGUAAGACAGAGGAUGCGAACGUUGCUCGGAAUUACUGGGCGUAAAGCGCGUGUAGGCGGUUUUGUAAGUCGGGUGUGAAAGCCCGGGGCUCAACCCCGGAAGAGCAUUCGAUACUGCGGAACUCAGGGUCCUGAAGAGGAGAGCGGAAUUCCCGGUGUAGAGGUGAAAUUCGUAGAUAUCGGGAGGAACACCAGUGGCGAAGGCGGCUCUCUGGGCAGGUACCGACGCUGAGACGCGAAAGCGUGGGAAGCAAACAGGAUUAGAUACCCCCGUAGUCC
rnacentral:rRNA from 1 species